rnacentral:rRNA from 1 species
AACGAACGCUGGCGGCAGGCUUAACACAUGCAAGUCGAGCGCCCCGCAAGGGGAGCGGCAGACGGGUGAGUAACGCGUGGGAAUCUACCCAUCUCUACGGAAUAACGCAUGGAAACGUGUGCUAAUACCGUAUGCGUCCUUCGGGAGAAAGAUUUAUCGGAGAUGGAUGAGCCCGCGUUGGACUAGCUAGUUGGUGGGGUAAAGGCCUACCAAGGCGACGAUCCAUAGCUGGUCUGAGAGGAUGAUCAGCCACACUGGGACUGAGACACGGCCCAGACUCCUACGGGAGGCAGCAGUGGGGAAUAUUGGACAAUGGGCGCAAGCCUGACCCAGCCAUGCCGCGUGAGUGAUGAAGGCCCUAGGGUUGUAAAGCUCUUUCACCGGUGAAGAUAAUGACGGUAACCGGAGAAGAAGCCCCGGCUAACUUCGUGCCAGCCGCCGCCGUAAUAC